UACGGAGGGUGCGAGCGUUGUCCGGAAUCAUUGGGCGUAAAGGGCGCGUAGGCGGCCACCGCAAGUCGGUUGUGAAAUCUCUGGGCUUAACCCAGAAAGGUCAACCGAUACUGCGGGGCUAGAGUGCAGAAGGGGCAACUGGAAUUCUCGGUGUAGCGGUGAAAUGCGUAGAUAUCGAGAGGAACACCUGCGGCGAAGGCAGGUCUCUGGGCCAUAACUGACGCUGAGAAGCGAAAGCAUGGGGAGCGAACAGG
rnacentral:rRNA from 1 species